rnacentral:rRNA from 1 species
UACGGGGGGGGCAAGCGUUGUUCGGAAUUACUGGGCGUAAAGGGCUCGUAGGUGGCCAACUAAGUCAGACGUGAAAUCCCUCGGCUUAACCGGGGAACUGCGUCUGAUACUGGAUGGCUUGAGUUUGGGAGAGGGACGCGGAAUUCCAGGUGUAGCGGUGAAAUGCGUAGAUAUCUGGAGGAACACCGGUGGCGAAGGCGGCGUCCUGGCAAGUGGCUGACGCUGAGGUGCGAAAGCGAGGGGAGCCAACAGG